GGCGGAAGUGAGGUCAUUCACGCGGGAGUAAAGUGAAAACUGAGUCGCACGUGAGCAGCAUGGAGGGGAAGAAGGCAUUUAAUUACAAGACAUUCCAUCGUUAUACAGUGCGUGCUAAGGGAGAAGAAUCUUGAGCUCAUCAAGACAAGGACCAGGGUCACGGGGGCCAAGUCAGCCGGAGUGUGUAUUAGACGCCACAAUCGGGCCGCACUUAUGAUGGUGCCUAAGGCGUAGAGCCUACCGUCUGUUAACUCUGAUACUUCACGGAUUUCUUGGGUGGGUGAAAGGAGAAUCCCUAUUCCAUCCUGUGCAGUCUGGACUUUUCCAGACCCUUCGGGUGAAUACACUGGGUUUUCAAAGGCCCAGCGACUAUCCUGCCGCAAAUAUGGGCAUGGAAUAGAAUUUGUGCAGACUCAAAUUUUUGUGUGCUAGAUGAUUUCAGUUGUAUUUCAUUGGUUUCUCUUAUUAACGUCUUUUUCUAUAAUAAAAAUUAUAACAUU